GCCGCGACCCGUUGCUGGGGACGUCGAAGGCCCGGGCGGACUGGUACCCCGACGUCGUGCGCUCGCGCCGACGAAGGGGGAAACCUCCGGUGUCCUGGCUGCCCUGCGACGGUCGUGCAGCAGAGGAGCAAUGCAUCUCUCUCUCGCGGCGUGCAAAAGGUCGGUGACCCACCCGACCCGUCUUGAAACACGGACCAAGGAGUCUAACAUGUGUGCGAGUCAUUGGGCGCACUAAACCCAGAGGCGAAAUGAAAGUGAAAGGAGAGCUCGCUCUCCGGGGCCGAUCCCCGACCGGCUGUUGUUGCCGCCAGAGUUUUUCCCAUGCCAAAGCGAGGUUACCCAAAGGGGGUUGUGCGGCGGAGUGAGUCCCUUUCCUCCGCCUGCCUCUGGCCUCGUGGGUUCUCGGUGCGCACGACGGUCCGGCUCCUUCACGGGAGCCGCUCGUACGCGGGAGGGCGCAGGCCCGGGACUUGCCAUUCGACGCCGCGCGCAAAUCUGUUGUUGGCCUCGCCGGUUCUGCUUGGGCUCUCGGUUGGCGCGCCGCGUGUCAGGCGGGCUUUGGGUGGGGGUCUUCGUGCCCCCAUUCGGGUUCGUCCCGCGCGGUUUUGCCUUCCG
rnacentral:rRNA from 1 species